AGAUUGAACGCUAGCGGGAUGCUUUACACAUGCAAGUCGAACGGCAGCGCGGACUUCGGUCUGGCGGCGAGUGGCGAACGGGUGAGUAAUAUAUCGGAACGUGCCCAGUAGCGGGGGAUAACUACGCGAAAGCGUGGCUAAUACCGCAUACGCCCUACGGGGGAAAGGGGGGGAUUCUUUCGAGAACCUCUCACUAUUGGAGCGGCCGAUAUCAGAUUAGCUAGUUGGUGAGGUAAAGGCUCACCAAGGCGACGAUCUGUAGCUGGUUCGAGAGGACGACCAGCCACACUGGGACUGAGACACGGCCCAGACCU
rnacentral:rRNA from 1 species